UCUUCAUGUUACAUGCUCUCUCACCUGUCAGAGUGACGAGAGAGCAGAUAAAAUGAAGAGA
rnacentral:pre_miRNA from 1 species